UUUUACGUUUUGUCGUUUUUGAAAGUCAUGUUUCGUCCUUUUGGAACUCAAGUUUGAUUUGGUGGCUAUUUCUGAAGACCAAUUUCUUAACGCUUUCCGAUUUAUUUCAGAAAAACAAGCCGUCAGCUCGUGAGAAAGUUGUUAAAUCACGUGACAGUUAUGAUACCUUAUUGCCACAUACAAGUAAUGUGUAAUGGCUUAAAACAAUGAACGAUUAUUAAGCAAAUUGAGCUCUUAGUUUCGAUACCGCCAAUUUGAACGUAUGCAUUAACGUGUUUGCUUGAAAUUCAUUAUAAUGUGACAAUAGCUUUUUCGUUGUUUGUGAAGUUGCUGUUAAUUGUCAGUUUUGCUCUUUUGGAGCUCAAGUUCAGUAAUCAACAACAUUCCUGAGCUGAAAAGGUAAUUCCCCUGGUGGCAGAUGACAAACUUGCUAGGUCCAUGCGACUUUGUCGCCUUUGGUCGCCUUUUGUUUACAACUGUAAUCUCUGAUAGAAAUUUUCGUGCACAACUUUAAUCUGAAACAUGACAUUAGAAAUGCAAGAAUGGUUGUUUGUCUCGACUCUCUUUCUGGAUGGUCUUGCUUCUCUUAGGGUCUCUAUAAAAAGGAUAAAUUACUAGAAUAUUUCGCUAGACGCUAGACGCUAGAAAAUUUUUCGUUAAGCAAAUAUUAGGAACGCUACUUUAGACAAAUGUAGCUGGGUACGCGCAGUUUUUUCAGGUUCUACAACUUCCCGCAAGUCUUGGCAGAUGUAACUUGAGCUUCAAUAAUGUGACUCUUCAAGAUAAGAGCUGUCAAUAUCGCAUGCAAUUGUUUUAGAGUUAGGUCUUCUUUAGAAAAGAGACAAAGCAAAACACAAAAUUCAGUUUUUCACAGGCAACGACCCUGUUGAGAAGGAUUAGUCUACCUCUGAAGAGAAUUUGAAGGGAAGACAUCCAAUUGAGAGGACUCUAGCGCAAAAAAGGAACUGAUCAAGAAAAUGACUGUAUAUUGCUAUCCUACUUCUAUCGACAGUCUGAUUGAACAUUAUAAGACCAAGGUGCGAUCCCAAUACCAGACUUGGAUGGUGAACGGUCCGUUCACUUACACUCCGUCGGGGAAGAAGCGUGCGCCGAGCAAAGAACUGGUUUUGCAGUGGAUCCAAAAGGCAUGGCAAGAGAUACCCGCUGAUUUGAUCGCGAACUCAUUC